rnacentral:rRNA from 1 species
GACGAACGCUGGCGGCGUGCUUAACACAUGCAAGUCGAGCGGUAAGGCCCUUUCGGGGGUACACGAGCGGCGAACGGGUGAGUAACACGUGGGUGACCUGCCCUCAGCUCUGGGAUAAGCCUGGGAAACUGGGUCUAAUACUGGAUAUGACUCCACGGUGCAUGUCGUGGGGUGGAAAGCCUUGUGCGGCUGAGGAGUCGGGCCCGCGGCCUAUCAG